rnacentral:rRNA from 1 species
GUGUCAGCCGCCGCGGUAAUACGGAGGGUGCGAGCGUUAAUCGGAAUUACUGGGCGUAAAGCGCGCGUAGGCGGCAAGGUCAGUCGGAUGUGAAAGCCCCGGGCUUAACCUGGGAAUUGCAUUCGAAACUGCCUCGCUAGAGUAUGGGAGAGGGAAGCGGAAUUUCCGGUGUAGCGGUGAAAUGCGUAGAUAUCGGAAGGACCACCAGUGGCGAAGGCGGCUUCCUGGACCAAUACUGACGCUGAGGUGCGAAAGCGUGGGGAGCGAACAGGAUUAGAUACCCUGGUAGUCCACGCCGUAAACGAUGAGAACUAGAUGUUGGGAGGAUUUGCCUCUCAGUGUCGCAGCUAACGCAUUAAGUUCUCCGCCUGGGGAGUACGCCGGCAACGGUAAAACUCAAAUGAAUUGGCGGGG